rnacentral:rRNA from 1 species
CCUACGGGUGGCAGCAGUGAGGAAUAUUGGUCAAUGGACGAGAGUCUGAACCAGCCAAGUAGCGUGAAGGAUGACUGCCCUAUGGGUUGUAAACUUCUUUUAUAUGGGAAUAAAAUGUUCCACGUGUGGGAUUUUGUAUGUACCAUAUGAAUAAGGAUCGGCUAACUCCGUGCCAGCAGCCGCGGUAAUACGGAGGAUCCGAGCGUUAUCCGGAUUUAUUGGGUUUAAAGGGAGCGUAGGUGGAUUGUUAAGUCAGUUGUGAAAGUUUGCGGCUUAACCGUAAAAUUGCAGUUGAAACUGGCAGUCUUGAGUACAGUAGAGGUGGGCGGAAUUCGUGGUGUAGCGGUGAAAUGCGUAGAUAUCACGAAGAACUCCGAUUGCGAAGGCAGUUCACUGGACUGCAACUGACACUGAGGCUCGAAAGUGUGGGUAUCAAACAGGAUUAGAUACCCGGGUAGUC